UACAGAGGUCUCAAGCGUUGUUCGGAUUCAUUGGGCGUAAAGGGUGCGUAGGCGGCGCGGUAAGUCGGGGUGUGAAAUCUCGGGGCUUAACUCCGAAACUGCAUUCGAUACUGCCGUGCUUGAGGACUGGAGAGGAGACUGGAAUUUACGGUGUAGCGGUGAAAUGCGCAGAUAUCAGGAGGAACACCGGUGGCGAAGGCGGAUCUCUGGGCCGAUACUGACGCUGAGGAGCGAAAGCGUGGGGAGCGAACAGG
rnacentral:rRNA from 1 species